GGGGGGACUUUGGGGGAGCAGCAAGGCAGAGAACGGACUACCCUAGGACAACCGCCUCCCCCUCCUGAACUUUUUGAUCUUCUUUCUUUGAAUCUCUAAGGGACCAGCAGAGAAUUCACCUGAACAUAGGGAAAAGAGUGACGAGAGGGAGAGAAAUAGAGGGAACGAUAUAGUGAGAACGAGAGUGAGAAGGGAACGACCAGAAUUUCAUUAAAAGAAAUGGAAAAACGCUACAGAGAGGCUACGUGAGUUUGAUCACGCACUAAAAAAGACGAACGGAAGUACUGUCCUUCAAAUUUUGGUUUUAAAAAUGGAGGUCACCCGAGGUUGUGUUUGAUUCGAGGUUUCCGGUCCGGGUUCGUGAGCUUGAAGCAACCGUUGAUGUGCACUUGAUUUGGAUCUCUAUUGUUUAAUAUUUAAUAUAAAAGGAAGAUUCGUCAAAGGUUUAUUCCUUCCCUUUCCUCUGUUUUUUGAUUUAUCUCCCGUGAGUUGUUUGUGUUUGUUUGCAAUCCAUGCUUUAAUUGUCAUUUUGUGAAUGACUUGCAAAUUUACGUGUGUAUUGAAUCUUGGGAAUACAUGUUGACAUGUUAGUAGAAUGGAGACAGUAGGUGCCCGUAGAGGACAUUUCCGAUUAAAUGAACUUGGGCCAUGGGAGUUCGAACAGAAUGUUAGACUUUGGAUAUUUUUUCUUCUUGUCAUUUUAUUUUAUUUAAUUGGAUCGCUAGGAGUAUGUUAGGCCGAUAACACCUGGGUAGGCAAAUUUUAGGACUUUAUAUUUUAUUUGAGGUUAGAGGUUGUCUCGUAGUUUAUUAUUUUAUCCGGGGUAUGCCCCGUAAUGAAUGUAAUUGGAGGCCGUGACAGACAUCGUGGAGUGAGCAUAGUAUAGACUUUUAGUAUUUUCCUCUUAUUUUAUUUUUUUUAUUAGGUGGGGACGACCUCGAACCUCUUUUGUGUUGAUUUUUGCUUUUGUGUGUUUCUGCCUCAAUCUGAGUAUUCUUUAAAGCCAACUAAAUCGUGUAUGCAACCGUGACUUUCACGGGACUUGGGGAAUGCCUAACACCUUCUCCCCGAGUCAAAUGAACCCCAUUACCUAUAAUUUCUGGUGCAGUCAGUUUUAGAGUCAAAUGUGUUUUGAAGAAAAAUUAUUAUUUUAAAAAUGGUGACCUGGCACACCGAAACCAAAUAUCAGGUGGCGACUCUGAAAAUCCUUCGAAACGCAAUCUUUUUGUCACUUUCAUGAUUGAAAACCCUUUUGUGCUUUAAAACUACUUUAUCCUUUAAAGAGGGUUAAGUGAAGUGAAAAAGGGGUGUGACACAAGCCACUCUCAUAGCUAGGACCUCCCAUGUAGUAGCUUUCUUCUCAAAAAUCCGAGAAUUCCUUUCAAUCCAUAGUGUAUGACUAUACUGUGCAUAAACUAGCUUAAAAACUCUUGCCAGCUGAGAUCUGCCCUUUGUUUUUAUAACUAUCCAUUGAUGAUUUGUUACCCAUGAUUCUAUAGGAGAAUAUUGAAUGUGCAGCCAGUUCAUGAGUUUGUGCUAUAGGUAUUUGCCAUAUUCACAUUCAUCAAAUAAGUGGUCUCGCGUCUCUGGCUCUUGAUGGCAAAAACAACAAGUGUCUUCUAUCUGCAUUCCCCAUUUCUUUAGUCUAUAAGCUGUUAAUACUCUUCCCUGCACCUGAAGCCACAUGGUGAAGAUGACUUUUGGUGUUGCCUGGUUUUGACACAUCAAUCCUUCCCAUGGAACUUUUGGUAAUAUGCCUAGUUGCUGUAGGUACACUUGCUUUGUAACUGUGCCUUGUGACAAGUUGUUAAUACUGUGCAAUCUGUCCCUUGCCUCAAACACCUUUCGAACCAUCCAACAUGCUUGCUUUGGUACUCCUAUAUCCAUAAACUCUUGCUCUUUGAUGUAGUAACUAUGAAUCCAUCUGAUCCAUAACUUAUCCUUCUUGUUAGCCAACUCCCAACAGGUCUUAGUAAUAGCAACUUUGUUCCACAUAGCCAAGUUGAUCAAGUUCAAUCCUCCAGCAGCUUUUGGAGAGCAUAUCCUAUCCCAUGUCACGAAAGACUUUUUAGUUAUUGUAUUCACCCCAGACCAUAUAUAACUUCUAUAGUGUGCUUCAAUUACUUUGAUGACUUUAGCUGGUAUAAUAAAGAUUUGAGCCCAAUAGGCUUGAGUGCCAAAGAUAACUGUUUGGACUAACUGAAUUCUGCCUGCAUAGGACAGUUUCUUUGAUGUCGAUGAAGAAAUCUUGCUCACAAUUUUGGCAAUAAGGGGUUGCCACUGCAGCACCGAAAGCUUCUUCGUAUCAAGAGGUAUGCACAAGUAUUUGAAAGGAAGCACUCCUUGACUCUACCCUAGAGCUUGCUGGAUCUCAUGUUUCAUUUCAUUGUUAACUCCUCCAUAAUAUAUUGAUCUUUUGGCUAGAUUUGCUUUAAG
rnacentral:lncRNA from 1 species